CAGUAGCCACGGUAAUACGUAGGGUGCAAGCGUUAAUCGGAAUUACUGGGCGUAAAGCGUGCGCAGGCGGUCCGCUAAGACAGAUGUGAAAUCCCCGGGCUUAACCUGGGAACUGCAUUUGUGACUGGCGGGCUAGAGUAUGGCAGAGGGGGGUAGAAUUCCACGUGUAGCAGUGAAAUGCGUAGAGAUGUGGAGGAAUACCGAUGGCGAAGGCAGCCCCCUGGGCCAAUACUGACGCUCAUGCACGAAAGCGUGGGGAGCAAACAGGAUUAGAUACCCGCGUAGUCCCUGUCUCUUAUAA
rnacentral:rRNA from 1 species